GGAAAAUAAUGGAAAAGAAAAAAAAGAAACUCAUACUGUAUGGCUAGCAACAAGCCCAAUAAGUCAAAUCAACCUAAACCCACAAAUUAAAUCCAUCCCCAUUAGGUUUAUACAAGGAAGAGCAUUAAAAGAAAGAAGCACACUGCCAACCACCACCAAAGAUGCUAAGUAGAGAUUGAAGCCCACAAAACCGUCCGCAACACAAGGAGCAACCAUAGUCACCCAUCAAAACACAACAACUCAACCAAAUAGCACUAACCUCCCAGCUUCUCAAUAGAAACACAAAGCUCAACUCUAAAAUGACAAGAGUGAGCUUUCAGGCACUCGUAAGCCAUCAGGGAGACCUUCCCAACUAUGGUAUAAAAGCGGAUCUUGGAGAUGCAAAACAACCAAAGUAAGUGAAGCCCUCUCAACUCGCAGAGCAAACCCUUAGAUCCAAGAGACCAAGCAUCAAAGAGAACAACCCACCAAACCAAAUAGAAACCCUCAGCCUAAAACCACCAUCUGCAACUCACAAAA
rnacentral:misc_RNA from 1 species